CCAUCUUCCCCUAUUCUAUACUAUAUAUAUAGUAGGAUGGGGGAAGAUGGGACAC
rnacentral:miRNA from 1 species